rnacentral:rRNA from 1 species
UACAGAGGUCCCAAGCGUUGUUCGGAUUCAUUGGGCGUAAAGGGUGCGUAGGUGGCAUGGUUAGUCGGGUGUGAAAUCCCGGGGCUCAACCCCGGAACUGCACUCGAUACUGCCGUGCUGGAGUACUGGAGAGGAGACUGGAAUUCCUGGUGUAGCAGUGAAAUGCGUAGAUAUCAGGAGGAACACCGAUGGCGAAGGCAGGUCUCUGGGCUGACACUGACGCUCAUGCACGAAAGCGUGGGGAGCAAACAGG